AUCGCAUCUCCAUACUUGGAGCUGAGGAAGAACAGCAGAUGCAUGACUAUGUAGUGUGAUAAAAAAUGAAACCAUAACUGCAGUGGGGUGUACACCAAUAUUCCUCGUGUUUCGCUCUGCUCCUCUCUAUGAUGUGUGGGUGACACAAUAGACAGACUGGUGUCUGCGUGCUGAGGCUAAAUCCCUGCCGGAGGGGACUGGAAAAUUUCCCACAAGAAACUAUGUAACAGUUUUCACUUUCGUUCUGACACAUAAAAUAAAGACCUUUGACUUGUGGCUGCUUGAGCAGAGGAAAUA